rnacentral:rRNA from 1 species
UACGUAGGGUGCAAGCGUUGUCCGGAAUUAUUGGGCGUAAAGAGCUCGUAGGCGGUCUGUCGCGUCGGCUGUGAAAACCCGAGGCUCAACCUCGGGCCUGCAGUCGAUACGGGCAAACUAGAGUACUGCAGGGGAGACUGGAAUUCCUGGUGUAGCGGUGAAAUGCGCAGAUAUCAGGAGGGAACACCGGUGGCGAAGGCGGGUCUCUGGGCAGUAACUGACGCUGAGGAGCGAAAGCGUGGGGAGCGAACAGG